GUUUAGAUUUAGAUUUAUGGUAGGUGGACCAGUCCCCUAGGGACUCUCAGAGUUUCCCAUGCCAGAGCAAAGCAAACUGUG
rnacentral:snoRNA from 1 species